GUCAGGAUGGCCGAGCGAUCUCAGGCGCUGCGUUCAGGUCGCAGUCUCCCCUGGAGGCGUGGGUUCGAAUCCCACUUCUGACA
rnacentral:tRNA from 1 species